rnacentral:sRNA from 1 species
UUAAGAGUACUGGCUCCUCUUCCAGAGGACCUAGAUUUGGAACACCAGCAUGGUGGCCUGCAAUAGAAGUAUUGUGAGUUGGUGCUGAGACGACAGCAAAUCACAGGAGGAGGUGACAAUGCAGCAGGAUCCUAAGCCUAGCUCCUCUGAGCAAGAGGUCCUCAUCGGUCCUUACAGGAUCCUCAAGACCCUUGGCACAGGCAACUUUGCUCAGGUCAAACUGGCUGUGCACCUCCACACAAAGAUGCAGGUUGCUCUGAAGACCCUGGAAAAGGACAAAAAGAACGCUACUCUGAUUUCCACAGAGCUAGAAAUAAUGAAAUUAGUAGACCACCCUAAUAUAACCAAAUUGUUCCAUGUCAUGGAAACCAGUGAGCAUGUCUGCAUGGUUAUGGAAUACGCUCCUGGUGGUGAUCUGGCUGGUCGCAUCAUAGAGGUGAGCUACAUUCAGGAAGAGGAGGCCCGACACAUCUUCACACAGAUAGUUUGUGCAGUUAAUUACUGCCACAAGAAUGGCAUUGCACACAGGGACAUCAAGCCAGAAAACAUUCUGAUGGAUGCUAGAAGAAACAUCAAACUGUGUGACUUUGGCCUGGCCAUCAAGGUUAACACUGAGCAGAAGUCAACAGUGUUCUGUGGCACCCUUCCAUACUGUGCACCAGAACUUUUCAGCAUCCAAAGCUAUGAUCCCAGGGCCCUUGAUAUCUGGAGCAUGGGGGUGGUACUAUACAUCAUGGUGACGAAGCAUUACCCGUUCAAAGCAACGACAUAUGACAAGAUGAGGGAGGAGAUGCGGGACCCACACUACUAUAUCCCGCCAAAGCUCCCAGCACACAUUGCCAACCUCAUCAUGCAGUUGUUCACUAUUGAUCCUUUGCAGAGGCCCAAGAUAGGUGACGUUGCGAAACAUCAGUGGCUGCAGGGCAGCGAGGAGCUUUCAAAAAUCACCCUACCCCAAGAGACACUCAGCAGCAAGCCCAGCCCCAGUAUUAUGGCAAUUAUGGGGGCCAUGGGCUACAACCCCAAGGACAUUACAGACUCUUUAUAUAAAAAAAAAUUUAAUAGCAUCAUGGCAACUUACUUAAUUUUAAAACACCAGUCACCCUACAGGGACAGCGCUAACCGCAAGUUUAAACUCAUUCAGCCUCGUAGUGCCACGAUACCCACAGAUCCUCCCACUGUCCAUGUCUUCCUAAAGAACAUCGGGACUGAGCCUGACAAUUCCACCUCUGCUCCAACAGCAAAAGACAAGCCCUACAACAACGCCAAGCUUGUAAGAAAGGACAGCAAGAAUCCCAGGAUAACUGAUGCUAUGGGCCGCCAGAAGACUCGUGUCCCUCCUGAAACAGCUGCCCAGUGUGGGCCUGUGCAGCGUCACCAGGAGCCUCUCUUGAAAAGCAGCUUGCUGAAGAGAAACGUGGCUUCCAGUGCUGUAUCCUCUUUUCCUGUGCAGUAUGACCGUGAUCAGUUCUUGAACAGUAGCUUGCAGAAGAGAGGGGUGGUUUCUAAGGCCGUGUCCUGUGGUCCUGUGCAGUAUGUGCAGAGGAGAAACAUGAUGUCCAAGGCUGUGUCCUGUGGUCCUGUGGAGUAUGAAGAUGAGCAUCCCCCGAGCCACAGCUCACAGAAAAGAGGGGUGGUUUCUAAGGCCGUGUCCUGUGGUCCUGUCGAGUAUGAAGAUGAGCAUCCCCUGAGCCACAGCUUGCAGAAGAGAGGGGUGGUUUCUAAGGCUGUGUCCUGUGGUUCCAUGCAGCAUGACCUCGAGCAGCUCCCGAGCUUUCAAAAAACAAAUAUGGUUUCCAAGGCUGUGUCCUGUGGUCCUGUGCAGCUCUCCAACAGCACCUUGCAGAAGGGAGGCCUGGUUUCCAAGGCCGUGUCCUGUGGUUCCAUGCAGCAUGACCUCGAGCAGCUCCCGAGCUUUCAAAAAACAAAUAUGGUUUCCAAGGCUGUGUCCUGUGGUCCUGUGCAGCUCUCCAACAGCACCUUGCAGAUGGGAGGCCUGGUUUCCAAGGCCGUGUCCUGUGGUUCCAUGCAGCAUGACCUCGAGCAGCUCCCAAGCUUUCAAAAAACAAAUAUGGUUUCCAAGGCCGUGUCCUGUGGUCCUGUGCAGCUCUCCAACAGCACCUUGCAGAAUGGAGGCCUGGUUUCUAAGGCCGUGUCCUGUGAGUCCAUGCAGCAUGACCAUGAGCACCUCCUAAGCGGCUCCAUGGAAAAGAGAAACACAGUGGCUUCCAGGGGUACGUCUCCAGACACAGCUCCCUCCAUGGACGUUCUUUCUGAGUACCACAUUUUCCAGAUGGAUCCCCAGGGUGAAUCCCUGACUAAGUGCAGCUCAUACAUCCACAGUAUAGCCUCUGUAUGGAGCUCUGAGGAGAAGCCUCAGGAUAUGGCCACCACAGACUGUCAUCACAAGGACAGAAGCUUGUCCUUGCAGGAAACAUCUGAACCAAGCUUUGCUGCUGCCCAGACCCAGUGUGUAACCACAGCCUCUCCUCAGAACUCAUCAGGCAGAUGGAAGCGGGCAAAGAGAAGGAUGGUGAAGUGUUUAAGGAGAUUAUGCUGCUGUCUGCCAGACCAAAGGAGAAGCUGCACUUCCCAGAGGAGAGUGCUUCCACAGGAGGUGGGAGAAAGUGGAGUCACACAAAACCAGGCUCUUUUGCAGUAGAUUUUGGGAGCCCCUCCAGCCAGUGCAUGGUGUCCGUGUACUUUUGACCAGCUUCAGGCAGGAUCUCUGUGAGUGCUUUAGUCUCUGGUGACUGCAGGUAUCUGGAGACCAGCAGGUAGGUUACCAGGGUAACCCUCUUGGUUCAUUUUUAUAGAGGUGCGUUUUGGGAGAUAAGAGAGCAUGAUGGAGUAGGAAUUUGGUUCAACUUCACCCCAGCCAUGCCUGGGAGAGCAGAGUUCAGGGGAACUGCACUGGCCUAAGAUAAACCAGGACAACUGUCCUAAAGACCUAUGAGAGGGAACUUUGCAAGAACAUCUGGGAGAGCCAUGUGGGAGAACAUUUUGAAUCACCAAUACCCCAGUUACUUUGUAAACCCAGUGCCUCAUUCCUGAGUGUAUGGUGUACGGGGCCUUUGGAAAGGUGACAGGAAAGGAGAGUAAUUAGCCAGGUCAUCUAAGACCAAGGGCAGCAUAGCCCCAGGCUGUAUGGAGCUAGUUAGCUUGCAUAGCAAAUGCCUCAUUCUGGAAGAAGAGGCCUGCAUGCGAUUGAUUUGGCCUCUGCAUGGACACCGACAGGCUCUUCAACAAGACAUUGAAUGUCUCAUUGGGGUGCAGGAGCAGACACAGGAAGGCUCUCCUCAUCCCCAACUGUGGAUUCUCUCCAUUCCCUCUGUGCUCUCAAACUGUGAAACCGAGCCAUGAAGCUCAGUCUGAGGUGAGAUGGAGGCCAUGACCAGCUUCCAGCUCUGGAGAACUGCUAAGGGCAGGCAUGUGAAGCAAGGUCCUGGGGUGGGCUGGUCCAGUUCCAAAGAGGUUGCUGAUCUCAGGACAGAACCAUAGUUCUGAGGACAUCUGAAUUCUCUUGGGAUCUGCAGGAAUCCAGUUCAGUUGAGGUGUUCCAGAAAGCGUCUCUCCUUCAGGUUCUUCCUGCCUCUGCCCAGGACGCCAUAGAAGAUUCGCCUGACAAGCUGGCCAGGGAUAUGACUGGUGUGUAGUACAUCGGAGAUCUUGGACCAGAUGCAGAGACCCUGAAGCUGAGACUGGAGGUUGUGAUGAAGGCAAGUCUCAUGGCCAGCCCAGUGAGGAGGGCAUUCUUCAAAGUGACUACAAAGUCUUCCUGUCCUUGAGCUGUGGCGCACUGGAGGAGGUGAAACCUGCAUGCCACGUUCUCACACGUAAACAACUGGUCCUGGAGAAAAGGAACAAACUUGUAUGACAUCACCUCUGAGGUAGAACUCAUUAAAUCAUUGGAAGAUCAUCAAACUCUUAUACACGGUUGAUACACCAUUAACCACUUACAUGAUAAUUGGGUGUGUGGUGAGGAGAAGAACUGGAGAGGUGCCCAAUGGAGGAUGGAGCAUUAUGGCUUUUCCAGCAGGCUACGUCAGUUGUUCACUUCCUCCUCCGGAGGCACAGGCUACCAGAAUAUCCAAUUGGAAAACAUCUAGUGGAUGCAGCAGGAAAUUCAAAGCUUUGUGACUUUGGUAUGGCAACUAAACUCACAAAGGGACAGGUGAUGGGGAAGCUCUGUGGCUCCCUGAUCUACCUGACCCCAGAUACCUUGACAGGUAGACUGUGUAAUGGCCUUACAGUUGACACAGAAUUUGGAUAUCCUUCUCAGUGUCAUGUUCACAGAUCUCUUUCCAUACUUAGAAACAAUUCUUUCAGGCAUGCACCCGCUCAUCACCACCACAAUGUGUCAUCUUUCUUGUUACUUGUCCAAAACCCACCAGGUUAUUAUUGCAAGCUUGGUCCUGGUCCUCCCUUCCCCGUGAUAGUGGGUCAUCUAGUGGAACACACAUGGCUGUACCACAUCCAAGAACAUGCACCACUUGUCUCUAAAGAAAUAAUAUUGAUGACCAUGAAGAACAUGUGUAUGAUUAGACACGGGUAAACUAUGUAAAACACAGGUUACAAAAUGAAAGUCACAGCUAAAUUCAAUGUUUUGAAACAUCAGUUGGGCUGUGGGGAUAGCUGUCUCCCAACUGUAAGGCCCCAUUUAAAUCCCAGUGCUGCAGGGUUUCUUGCCUAACACCCAGUGCUGCCCAGAGAAGAUGCGCUGUCUAGGUACCACAGACACGGAAAGCAAAACUGUGAAUGUUUGGAGGACAUUGAAGUUGGUGUGACUCUGGGUGACACUCCACUUGAUGAGGAGGCCCCAACAGAGUCAGCCUAGGACGCAACAACCACAGGGCUAAAUGAAGAGAACAAGAGCUUGUGCCCUGUGGAGCCCCCAACAGAGUCAGCCUAGGACGCAACAACCACAGGGCUAAAUGAAGAGAACAAGAGCUUGUGCCCUGUGGAGCCCCCAACAGGGUGAGUCUCACCCAGUGUCCCAGCCCCAGGUUGAACCUAUAGACUCUGGCUCCAAGAUGGCUCUGGCUGGAAGGGACCAAGGAGGUGAAUUACUUGAGUAUUUAGAACACUUUGCUGCUGCCUGCCCACCCAAAGGUGAGUCAUGAAUACUUGUGGUAAGGAGCUGCAAAGAAAGGAGACAGGAAUGGGGUCCUGUAGUUUAGGGCAUCAAAAUGCAUGUCUACAUUUUAUUUUAAUGCUUUUUGGAUGACCCUUGUAAGUGGCAAAUUACAAAUUUAUGGUGUACAAGACUUAAGGUGUCAAUGUCUUUAGAAGGAACAAGCUUACAAUCUCCCUCUCAUGUAGAUUCUUGGGUUGUUGAGCCAGAUGUAGUUAGCAGAGUGUAGCAACCAGAGGAUGGGAAGGGAGAGAGGAGAGUUUUGCAAAGGGGGCAAAGGUUCAGUAGUUGGGGGAUCAAGUGGAGGGCUAAGGUACAGCAGGGUACUUAGUGCCAAGUCCUGCCUAUGUUAACAUGACUAACGGAAGACUUUCCAUGGAUCUUUUUUCAAGUGGUGAAAUAGACAAGGCCUGGUGCAGAUGGACAGCCACUGAAGAGAGCCAGGCCAGAAUGUGAAUGUCAGGGUGCUGUUUGCCCACACACCCAGGGCACAGGCUCCACAGCCAUCCUUCAUCAGGUCUUUGCUGCCAACUCCCUGCUUGCUCAGCCCAGCACUGCAGGCUGCACCAAUAGGUGGUCUCACGUGACAUCUACCUGAUGAAGGCCUACCUCUCCAGCUCCUGUGGAACAGAUACCCCUGGAAGCCAGACUGUCUGGCAUACAGCCUCCUUCCUUCCAGCCUCUGUGGUGAUGUCCCUUCCUAUCCCACAGAAACAAUCCCUCAACACUUACUUGACUGCACUUGAGAUCGCUUUGGUUCCUGCAACAGGGUGGGUAAGGCCUCUCUGGGACUGGGGCUCAGAAUGUCUCUGUAGGAAGCAGCCGUGGGGCUACUUUGUAAUCAGUGUCCGCCUCAGGGGUAAGGUUUAGAAAGAACCAUGGAGCCAUGGAUGGCAGCCAGUGAUGCUGAGUGGACACUAGCUGCUGUGGUGCUGCAGUGCUCUUCUGGGUACCUUCUUGGUGGGGUGGAGCUCCUGGCGUCCACAGGGACCCACCAGCUGACCAGGAACACAGGGGGAUGACCUGUGGAUAUCAUGCAUUUGAGAUAAUUCUGAGUCCACCAAGUAUCUGCUUGUGGUAAAAGAUGGGUUUCUGAAGCCUGCCCUUGACAGAACACUAGUCCAGUGAAUACAAGGGAGGUGACUUAUGCAGGAUGCCCUGACCCAGAGGGGAAGGGGCUGACUUGCUUUUGGGAUUUGGUCUGUUGUGCUUAGCAGCAGGCUUUCCUCUCUCACCCUCUGGCCCCAGGCCUUUUUGGCAUCCUGGAAUAUUCUCAGGAGAGUACCAAGUUGUGUUCCCAGCUAUGUGGCAUGAAUGUGGUCAUGUCACUGGCCAGCCACUGCAUGACAUCAUACUUUUUACAGCCCCGACCAUGUAGUGAGUCCCAUUUGGCCCCACAUGGGAACAAGGCAGAGGCGCAGAUGGUCUUGUUUGUGUGGGCCGAGCAGGUGUGGGUAUGGGUGUGGGUGUGGUGUUCACUGGGGUAGGCCUCAGCUUCUGCUUCUACCAGGGCUGGGAAGGUGGUACAUUUUGUUGCUCUCUUGGAAACAAGUUAGGGGAAAUAGUCAAUAGGGAGUGCAGUGGAGAGGGAGUGAGAGGGGAGGGUAGAAGGAGAGAGAAGACUGACUGACUGACUGUCUGUCUGUCUGUCUGUCUGUCUGUCUGGUUUAUGAGGUCCUCUCAAGGAAAAUUGGGUUGCUUAGUUAUGGCCCUCAGCGUGCUUCUCUGUAUAUAAGGUGUGCCAGGAACCUUUGUUGCAGAAGAUGAUGGAAGGUGCCUUCACACCUGAUCUCCUGCUUCCUUAACCUGUCUUGUAGGGAAAUCACACAGCUCUGAAGACAUUUUCUAUGAUGGCUCAUUGGUGCUCAUCUUGUGGCCAUCCAAAGAGAAAAGCAGGGACGAAGCCCAGCCCGUGGCAGCAAGUUUCACGAUGGAACCCACAUUGUUAGGUCACACACAGAGGUGUGCAUGUGGCACUAACUAACCUGAACAUUGUCCACACAUGGCUUUGGUUUUCUACUGAAGAGCAGAGUACGCUGCUUGGCCAGACCUUGCUACCUGUAGCUAAAAUUGCCUCUACCUAGCAGCAGCAGCAGCAGCAGCAGCAGCAGCAGCAGCAGCAGCAGCAGCAGCAGCAGCAGCAGCACACUCCCCACC